GCCCGCUCCUGGCUCCUUUGAUAAGCGCUGGCAGGGUGGGAAUCCCUCCGAGGCUCUGUAGGACGAAACCUCCGUGGUGCCUGGAGUGAUUAGCCUAUCAGAGGGCCCGAGGGAAGAGGCAACGAUUCGAGUUCCAGCCGAGAGGAAGAAUUGUCUAGGGCGUAAGAAUCCAAAAGGAAAGUCAAGUCCCUCUGAUACCACACUGUGAGUCUCUGAAAAGAGUAAAAGACGAAAGCUGUA